rnacentral:rRNA from 1 species
UACGAAGGGGGCUAGCGUUGCUCGGAAUUACUGGGCGUAAAGGGCGCGUAGGCGGGUCGUUUAGUUAGAGGUGAAAGCCCAGGGCCCAACCCUGGAAUUGCCUUUAAUACUGGCGGCCUUGAGUAUGGCAGAGGUGUGUGGAACUCCGAGUGUAGAGGUGAAAUUCGUAGAUAUUCGGAAGAACACCAGUGGCGAAGGCGACACACUGGGCCAUUACUGACGCUGAGGCGCGAAAGCGUGGGGAGCAAACAGG